UACGAAGGGGGCUAGCGUUGCUCGGAAUUACUGGGCGUAAAGCGCACGUAGGCGGCUUCUUAAGUCGGUGGUGAAAUCCUGGAGCUCAACUCCAGAACUGCCUUCGAUACUGGGAAGCUCGAGUCCGGGAGAGGUGAGUGGAACUGCGAGUGUAGAGGUGAAAUUCGUAGAUAUUCGGAAGAACACCAGUGGCGAAGGCGACACACUGGCUCACUACUGACGCUGAGGCGCGAAAGCGUGGGGAGCAAACAGG
rnacentral:rRNA from 1 species